rnacentral:tRNA from 1 species
GGCUCUGUAGUUCAAUGGAUAGAAUGCAAGUUUCCGGAACUUGAUAUGUAGGUUCGAUUCCUACCAGGGCUA